UGUCUGUCCAAAUGUUAAAACAAAAAAACCAUAUAAAUCCAGAUAGUAUAAUACAGUUAAAGAUAAGUACAUCACGAAGAACAACCUAUUUUUGAUAAUAGUUUCAAGAAAACACUCAUCUUAAAAAUUUAAACUUGUAGGUGAGGACAAUUUUAUAUCUCUAACACACUCAUGUAUGUGAAUGCUCACCAGACUUGAAGCCUAAACAACCGAAGACCUGCUUUACCUUGCGCUAAAAUGUUUAAUUAAUAAAUUAGAGCGGCCACACCUCGACAAGAUGUCAAAAAUAGCUCAAGCUUACAGGUGAGAACCACGAGAAUGGUUUUAUAUCUCUAACUAAUAGUACAUAUAAAUGUGACAUAUCGAACAAGUCAAAGUUAGCAUUUAUAUAUGAAAAAGAAAUUCAUAAUCUAACAUCAAACCCAUAGCCACAUUAGCUUUUGCUAGCUAAAGUUCGCAUUUCACUGGUAAAAUAAUUGGAAAUGUUUUUAUUAGCUCACAUAGCAAAAGCCUCAUAGAAUAUUUCAAUAAUACUCUUGAAAUUCUACUGCAACACAAUCUCAAGUUUGAAUCUACAUGAAUUGGGUAUUAAAUCUAAAAACAACUCCUCAACCCCCCUCCUUCUCAAAAUAACAAUAAAGAAAGAAUCUUUACAAGUUAAAGAUCUAGAUCACACGAAAAAGUCCGGACUUUUCAAUCAAGACAACAAGAGAACAAGAAUAAACAAGCACCAACAGCACCAAUAUUCAAGAAUAAAAAGAGAAAUCAA
rnacentral:misc_RNA from 1 species